UUUAAAAACAAUCAACUUUUAAUGGUUUCAAACAGUAUACACGUUUGUAGCAUGCAUGGUAGAAACAGACUUAAAUAAAAUAUAAAUACAUAUUUAAUUUUCCUUUUACACCCAUUGACCAGCUUACAAAGUACAAGUUUUUUUUCUUUAUUAAAACUUUGCAUUCAGUUUUAAAUGCAGACUUUUCUACGAACUUCUAACCUUGGAAAAGAACACAAGCUUAAAAGUAAAACAUCAAAAUGAAACUGCUUAUUGAACUGUAAAAAAAAAUUGACUGUUAAAUAAAGAUAACACGUUUGUUGAAUCUCUAUGCUUAGUGGGGUCAAGUGUCACAGCAUUAAACACACAAACAGUGUUUCAAAUUCAUUUUACAAUGAAGCAUUACUACGCUGAAUGAGCCAAACUAACGGGAAGAA